rnacentral:rRNA from 1 species
CCUACGGGUGGCAGCAGUGAGGAAUAUUGGUCAAUGGACGAGAGUCUGAACCAGCCACGUAGCGUGAAGGAUGACUGCCCUAUGGGUUGUAAACUUCUUUUAUAUGGGAAUAAACCAGGGUAUGCAUACCCUCUUGUAUGUACCAUAUGAAUAAGGAUCGGCUAACUCCGUGCCAGCAGCCGCGGUCAUACGUAGGAUCCGAGCAUUAUCCGGAGUUACUGGGUGUAAAGAGUUGCGUAGGUGGCAUAAUAAGUAGAUAGUGAAAUCUGGUGGCUCAACCAUUCAGACUAUUAGCUAAACUGUUCAGCUCGAGACCGUUAGGGGUAACUGGAAUGUCUAGUGUAGGAGUGAAAUCCGUAGAUAUUAGAAGGAACACCAAUAGCGUAGGCAGGUUACUGGGACGGUUCUGACACUAAGGCACGAAAGCGUAGGGAGCAAACGGGAUUAGAUACCCGAGUAGUC